GCUUCUGGUUUGGCUUGCCCAAUAGGAGGGCUUAGUAGAAAAAGGGGAGGCAGGAGGUUUCUGGAUUUCUUGAAUUCUUCAGUGAACAAACAGAGAGUAAAUCAAAGAAGAACUCCUAUCUUGGAAAUCAUUUCAAUAUAAGAAAAGGACCCCUCUCAAGAUGAGGUUCCUGCUUUUGCAGUGUUGGGUCCUCGACAAUGACAGCAGAGAACGAAUAAUUCCCGGUGCAGUGUCUUACAUCCGUUAAAGGGACUUGAAAAGGAAAACGAGGAACAAGUAUAAAGUGUCCCUGUGUCAUAACCCUGCCCUAUUCUCAGGGAAGUGAACAUACGGAAGACUGUGGGACAUCCUAGCAAAAGAGGUGAAAGGCUCCUGACUUGGAAAGAACGCUGCCUAUCGCUUCCCCCGUAAGAGGGAGCACGCCUCCAGCACCCCGGUGUUGUCUGGACUAUUCGAAGACAGCAGUACAGUUUCCUGGGCUGGAGGAGUCUGACCAGCAGUUUUGUCCAGGCACUGAUUUGGGGAACCCAGACAUUGUGGUUCUUUUUGGAGAACAACUUUGAGUCCCUGCUAUCUUCUUCUUCACCACUGAUUUUUA